AAUACUUAGGAAUCUGCCUAUUAGUGGGGGACAACAUUUCGAAAGGAAUGCUAAUACCGCAUACGUCCUACGGGAGAAAGCAGGGGACCUUCGGGCCUUGCGCUAUCAGAUGAGCCUAGGUCGGAUUAGCUAGUUGGUGAGGUAAUGGCUCACCAAGGCGACGAUCCGUAACUGGUCUGAGAGGAUGAUCAGUCACACUGGAACUGAGACACGGUCCAGACUCCUACGGGAGGCAGCAGUGGGGAAUAUUGGACAAUGGGCGAAAGCCUGAUCCAGCCAUGCCGCGUGUGUGAAGAAGGCCUUCGGGUUGUAAAGCACUUUCAGUAGGGAGGAAGGGUGUUGUGUUAAUAGCACAGCAUUUUGACGUUACCUACAGAAGAAGCACCGGCUAACUCUGUGCCAGCAGCCGCGGUAAUACAGAGGGUGCAAGCGUUAAUCGGAAUUACUGGGCGUAAAGCGCACGUAGGCGGUUUUUUAAGUCAGAUGUGAAAGCCCCGGGCUCAACCUGGGAAUUGCAUUUGAAACUGGAAAACUAGAGUGUGUGAGAGGGGGGUAGAAUUCCAAGUGUAGCGGUGAAAUGCGUAGAUAUAGGAAGG
rnacentral:rRNA from 1 species